rnacentral:rRNA from 1 species
GGCGACCGGCGCACGGGUGAGUAACACGUAUCCAACCUGCCGAUAACUCGGGGAUAGCCUUUCGAAAGAAAGAUUAAUACCCGAUGGCAUAAUAGAACCGCAUGGUUUGAUUAUUAAAGAAUUUCGGUUAUCGAUGGGGAUGCGUUCCAUUAGGCAGUUGGUGAGGUAACGGCUCACCAAACCUUCGAUGGAUAGGGGUUCUGAGAGGAAGGUCCCCCACAUUGGAACUGAGACACGGCCCAG